rnacentral:rRNA from 1 species
AUUGAACGCUGGCGGCAUGCCUUACACAUGCAAGUCGAACGGCAGCAUGGAGAGCUUGCUCUCUGAUGGCGAGUGGCGAACGGGUGAGUAAUGCAUCGGAACGUACCGUGUAAUGGGGGAUAACGUAGCGAAAGUUACGCUAAUACCGCAUACGACCUGAGGGUGAAAGCAGGGGAUCGCAAGACCUUGCGUUAUACGAGCGGCCGAUGUCAGAUUAGCUAGUUGGUGAGGUAAAGGCUCACCAAGGCGACGAUCUGUAGCGGGUCUGAGAGGAUGAUCCGCCAAACUGGGACUGAGACACGGCCCAGACUCCUACGGGAGGCAGCAGUGGGGGAUUUUGGACAAUGGGGGCAACCCUGAUCCAGCCAUGCCGCGUGAGUGAAGAAGGCCUUCGGGUUGUAAAGCUCUUUCGGCCGGGAAGAAAUCGCACAGGCUAAUACUCUGUGUGGAUGACGGUACCGGCAUAAGAAGCACCGGCUAACUACGUGCCAGCCGCCGCAGUAA